AUGGGACGCGCAGGCGACCUGCACCAACCAGGGCCUCCUCGCCGCGGUCGACGAGAUAGUCUUCCUCAAGGAGAUGCACGCGUUCCCCAUGGCCUCCGUGCCGCCAUGUCGUGCCUCAUGGAGGAGUUCCUCAGCCUCAGGGUGUGGGACGGUUCCCAGCUCGAAGGCAGGAGCGGCCUCCGUUUCGCCGUCCACAAGCUCUCCGUUUCCGUGGCAGCGGCCCGUGGCGCGUCGUCGUCGUUCGCCUUCCUAACCGGCGGCAGCACGGCCAGCACGGUGAGAACCAGCACGGCCGAGUUGAGCUCCGGCACCGUCGAUGAGCUGUACGCGUCCGGGAGCCAGCCGGCGGGGCCUGAUGUCUUCUCGGACGGGGAGUUUCCGGAUGAGCUCGCCCUGAUCUGCCCGGCGAGCUUGUCUGUCCUCCAUGAGAUCUCACUGCGUGUCAUCCGUGCCGGCUACACGAAGGAGCUUCUCCACACGUUCGCCGACGCUCCCUGCGAAGUUUUGGACAGGUUCUUGUGGAUUCUCCAAAUCCAAAUGAGAUGCUCUCGGGAGGCCGAGACUGACGAAUCGAUCAGUUACGAGAACGUCAAGUGGUGGACAGCGGAGGACAUGAUCCAGCGGUGGAUCCUGGCGACCAAACUGGUGGGGAAGGCCCUCGACGCUAUGCAAACGCAGCUCCACGCGCAGAGCAACGGCGCCUUCGACAGGUUCAAGAAUGACUACCUCAUGGCCAUGGCGAAGCGGAGAUCUUAUAUCCUGCUCAGAUUCGCAGACGGGUUCACCAGCACGUGCUCGCCGGAGAAGCUCAUAUACGUCCUGGAAAUGUAUGAGGUCCUUGACAGAGCUUCCCCUGGGCUCGUGCUCGUGCUCACCGGGCAGCAGAAGGAGCUCUUCUCCCGGCAGGUCGAGGUGGUUCUCGCCAAGCCGUGA
rnacentral:rRNA from 1 species